rnacentral:rRNA from 1 species
UACGUAGGGGGCAAGCGUUGUCCGGAAUCAUUGGGCGUAAAGCGCGUGUAGGCGGCUAGAUAAGUCUGCUCUGAAAGCCCGGGGCUCAACCCCGGGAGGCGGGUGGAUACUGUCUAGCUCGAGUCCGGAAGAGGAGUGUGGAAUUCCUGGUGUAGCGGUGGAAUGCGCAGAUAUCAGGAGGAACACCAAUGGCGAAGGCAGAUCUCUGGGCCGUAACUGACGCUGAGGAGCGAAAGCAUGGGGGAGCGAACAGG